rnacentral:lncRNA from 1 species
AGAGACACUGUGAGCUCGGAAAGACUUUGCCAAACACCUGGUAAAUAUAUUUUAACUUUUUGCAAGGGUGUGCAAAUUUAAAUUAUAUUUUUUGUUUGCUCUUGUCGCACAUUUUUGCGGCAUUUUGUUCCUCCCCUUUCGGUUUUUGAUGGAUUGUAGGGUUUUUUGCUUUAAUUAUGGUGAGCGACAGGAGCAGUAGCAGGACCAGCAAACAGGAUCAACUUUUUGGCGGAGCGUGCAUGCGGGAAAUUUGCAUAAUUUGCGUUACUACCGACUGAAUCCUUUGUCAAGGACCCUCGCGCGUGCACACCCCGCUGCUGACUCGCUGCCACCGCCAGCGGAGGGCAACAAGUUUUUUCAAAUCUCUCUCUCUCUCUCUCUCUCUCUGUUUAUUCCCGGCGAAAUGUAAUCAGUUAUUCAAAUAGAUUUCAUUUCAUUUCCAACCCGAUUGUUCGCGCAAUAAUUUCUGUGCAAUUGUUCGUCGUUGUUCGGUGCUCCGGCGAUGUCCAUUCC